UACGUAGGGGGCAAGCGUUAUCCGGAAUUACUGGGUGUAAAGGGUGAGUAGGCGGCAUGGUAAGUUAGAUGUGAAAGCCCGCGGCUUAACUGCGGGAUUGCAUUUAAAACUACUAAGCUAGAGUACAGGAGAGGUAAGCGGAAUUCCUAGUGUAGCGGUGAAAUGCGUAGAUAUUAGGAAGAACACCGGUGGCGAAGGCGGCUUACUGGACUGAAACUGACGCUGAGGCACGAAAGCGUGCGGAGCAAACAGGAUUAGAUACCCUGGUAGUCCACGCUGUAAACGAUGAGCGCUGGGUGUUGGGGGGGAACCCUCAGUGCCGCAGCUAACGCAAUAAGCGCUCCACCUGGGGAGUACGGCCGCAAGGUUGAA
rnacentral:rRNA from 1 species